GACCGCGUAGCUCAGUUGGAAGAGCAUUGGGCUAGUAUUCCAAAGGUCGUAGGUUCGGAUCCCACCGUGGCCG
rnacentral:tRNA from 1 species